rnacentral:misc_RNA from 1 species
ACCUUAUCAACCACUUCAGAUUUUUUGAAUGUGGCUUGGAUGUGGGGGGUUCUUUGCCGGCCUUUAGAGAAAGGUCGGCUCCCCUGAAACGCAUUAGUGGCAUCUGAGCUGCUACUGUAGGUGUGAUAAAUAUCUAUGCCUUUGGUAUGCUGCAUGAACAGAUUGCGCUGCUCAAAACCCAAACUUGACAA